GGCUACUCGCAGGCUGCACCAUUUCGGAUCUGCUCUGUAAAUAUGGAGGUAACUUUCAAACCGUAAAUCCGAAUCGUGAUCUGCUUUUUUCUGUGUCUUCGUUUGACUGUUGUUGAUAUCCCCACCAAAAUUCAUAAUUUUGUGGGUUGAUUUGCUACUCCAUUUGUACUCUGCAUCAAAACUGAUGAGAAAGGCAGAAUUUUAGUUGCUUCAAGAGAAGAAGUUGUGAAGUAACAUCUUGAAGGCUAGCUUGCAGAUCUUAUUUUUAAGAAAAAGGGUAUCUUGUUAGUCAUGAAGAAUAGAGCUGCAACUAUGGGGGAGAAGACAAGAAAAAGGAGAUAUGAACUGAAUCAUCAAUGUAUGAUUUACAGGUUAGAGAAGUGAUGAGAAAACAGUUUCAAGAUGUCUGAUUGAAGGCAACUUUUAGUGGAUGAAACGUAUACUGAUUGAGCUGAAAUUUGGUGGCAAGCUUCGUGAUAAUUCUGUUUUGCAUUGCAACGGUGGGAUUGAGAUUUGGACGGUUCGCUUGUAGUUUAUUCAAGCCUCUUCAAUCUGAUCUAGGCACAGAUGAACUCAAGUUUCAGAUCUGACCACCUAUGAUGGAGACAUUAAACGGACGAUCAGCUGAACUCGGAAUGAGAUGCAAUUUGGUAGAGAUACACCAGACAUGCUGAAACUAGAUUCCAGUAUAAGGGUAAUGGAUUUAGAGUCCAGGAACAUAGUUGAACAAUGACUUUUCAGAACAGUUGUUUCAGAGUUUUAUGUUGAAGCAUGAUAGAGUCUAUGAAGAAUUUCAGAUAACAUGAAAGGGGAAGAGCAUAGAUGUUGAAGCAUGAUGGAGUCUAUGAAGAAUGCUGAAAAGAGUAAAAAGAUGAGACUUUGAAACAGAGAAAACGAAACUGAGACUAAGAGAAAAGCUGAGAAAUAAAAUUUAUAUCAAGGCAUGUUGUUUGAGAAAGUUGUCAUGGGAAGAAAAGUUCAGUCAAAGGGUUUCAAUGGAAUAUUGCAAGGAGAGAAUCAAGCUUGGCUCAUGGUGGAGUGGAGAUAAAGUGUGAGAAAAUGGAUCAUUGGAAAAGAGAAUCCUACGUAAGGAUUUGCUCUCUAUGAGAAGGUGAUUGGGAUUAAUAUAAGUUGUUUCCACUGCAGCCUCAAAGACUAGAAAGAAUAAGCUUGUUUAGCUAAGCAUGGAAGAAUGAAGGCGAUGAAGACCUGAACUGCAGAAUCAAAGGGGGGAACAUUAAUUUUUCAGCUCUGACAGAGACUGCAAAAAUCAAAUUCGUGAAGGAAUCUUUAUGGCAAUGUUUGGAGAUCUGAAAGCAAUCUGUUCGAGCUGAAACUUUAUAAUGUGAUUCGUGCUGCUACUGUCUGGAUAUAUAACCAUGGGAUUGAGCUGUUGACGUUUCGAUGGAGACUUUAAAAAGGGGAUCGAUCAAGUUCGAGAUAAGAUAAGAUUUUGCAUAAAUUUUGUAUACUUGGAGCUUGAUUUUGGUAGAAGUGCAAAGGAUUCAGAGGCAAGGAACGUAGUUAAAUAAAGGCUUUAUCAACCUUGAGAUUGAUUAUCAUUGUGUUAAAAAAAAAGGAGUCUCAAGAACGUCGGUAGAUCAGUUGGUGAGAGUUAGCUACAAGGAAAGCC
rnacentral:lncRNA from 1 species